AAUUAAAAUUAAUAUAUUAAGUUUUGAAAACUUAAUUCGGUUUCACCUUUAAUUU
rnacentral:tRNA from 1 species